rnacentral:tRNA from 1 species
UAGUGCAAUGGUUAAGCAUUUGGCUGCUAACCAAAAGGUUGGUGGUUCAAACCCACC